CCAUUCAUUGAUGGCUCUGUUUCGGUGAUUUAAGCGAGAGAGAGUGGGAGGGAAGAUUGAAAAUUCCAUGUCUCGGGUCUAUAGUGUCUUCCAUACUAAAAAAAAGUUUCAUCAGCUAUUGCAAUUAGUUUUAGAGCGUCUGGAAGUGGGUUUCCUUUAUUCUUACCUGAAGAAGUUGAGAAAAUCAAAGACCCAUAUGCUAGAAAACUUGCUCAACGGAUUAAGAGAUUACCAUUACAGGGAUUUCAUGUAGAAGAAAAUCACUGGGAGUAUAUCCAAGGAAAUCAACAACAUUAAAAAAUUGAAGCUGUUGUAAGUUGUUUACAUUGCUUAUUAUUGUUUCAAUCAGACCCAAGUUGACACCAUGUGAUUGCUACGCCAAUGCUAUUAUGACUUGUGUAUUGCAGUCUCUUGAAUCGAAACAGAUUGACAGGUUCCUUAGCGGAGGAACUUGGUGGUCUUCCAAAUUUGGAAAAUAAUUUAGAUAGACGAGAAAUUCAUAUCAAUACCAUUGCCUAAAUCAUUUGCCAACUUGUUAAAAAUAAUGCACUUGGAGUAGUGAAUUACGCACUGUACUGGCCAGUGGAUUCUCCGGAACUCUCAGGCUCCAAGUUAAGUGCCUCCUAUGCUGGUAACUAAACUGUGGUAUUUGAGCUCUUUACUUGCAUUAUCUGGACUUAAAUUUUGCUAUAUAUUUUAUAUGAUUCUACAAAAGACAUCUCAGUUUGUUUAUCUAUUCAACGAAGCACAUGAAAGUAUAUCCCAUUUGGAGAGUAUCCAGAUGUAACAACCCUUGACUAGAUAGUUUGUUGCUAGACUAUUUUUUGUCCUUAAAAAUGUCUGUGUGAUGGGAGAACCUGAAUAAUUAAGUUUUGAGGAAUUCAUAGAUAGUCGACACUCGACAAGUAGGACUGGUAUUAUAGAUUGCUAAAUGCUGGUGUGCGUAGAGCAUAAUAACUCUAAGCUCCUGAUCUUUUGAACUUAGUCAGUAAUCAAUACUGUCGUGUCCGAAGUUCCAUAGAAUAAACAAUCUGGACUACGGGACUACGAAAUGCAUGCAUUUUGGUUAAUUUAAUGGCUAUAUUAUGUGUUUGUAACUAGAGAAUAGGCCACAAACAUUCAAACUUGUUCAUUAAUCAAGGUAUAUAUCAUAAGAUCUAAAUUACUGAUGUAUGGAUAAUAUUAUAGGCUUUUACUUGGUAUUUGCAGGUAGCUAAUGAGAUGGACAAGCUACAUAUCAGGAUUGGAUUCAUGCCGUGCUUAAAUUCACUCGUUCAGACAAUGACUGCAUGUUCUCCCAUACUAAAGAUUCUUAAUCUUUUCUUGGUUCCUCGAUAAGGAAGUCGUAAGUUACAUGUGAUCUCAGUUUGAUACGUUGUUCGUGGAAAGUCAAUUUUUUCUUAAAAAGUUCAGAUAGAUGGCAAGUCCCAAGAGGAUUGUGGCCAUCCCUGACAUAUUUGUGUGCCAAUAGUUUACCUGACUGGGAAACACCCAGUUCAUUCUAUAAUGCGACUAAGUUUAUUCUACUGUA